rnacentral:rRNA from 1 species
CUUGGUCAUUUAGAGGAAGUAAAAGUCGUAACAAGGUUUCCUCACCUAUUGAAGCCUUCAGCAGCGACUGUAAAGAAAUGCGUAGUUUGCUGCAAGCAAUGCCACUCAAAUGCUGAGACAUAUGAAUCAGCAGCCUUUUAGCUCACAGAUCAAAUUGUGGUAACCAUUCUUAUGGGCAAGAUAUGACCGUCCUAACUAGAGUUAGUUAAGAAUCCACGUUCCGUAGGUGAACCUGCGGAGGAUCAUUAAAGGUUUCGGGUACCCAGUGCCCAAACUUCAACCCUAUGUUUAACUAUACAUGUUUCUUUGCCGGUUUCGGCCGGCAGAAGUUUUCUCAACUCCAUAAAUGUGUCUUCUGAAUCAACUAAAUAAAUUAAAACUUUCACAACGGAUCUCUUGGUUCUGGCAUCGAUGAAGAACGCAGCGAAAUGCGAAAGUAAUGUGAAUUGCAGAAUUCAGUGAAUCAUCGAAUCUUUGAACGCAAUUGCGCCCUUUGGCAUUCCGAAGGGCAUACCUGUUCGAGCGUCAUUACCCCCUCAAAGAUAGCUCUUUGGCGUUGGGCAAUGCCUAAAGGCAUGCCUAAAAUCAGCGAUGGUGAUAUUCAACCACAGGCGCACACACGUCGUCUAGUGGCGGGAUGUUGUCAGUCAAUUGAUGAAUUUCUAAUGUUGACCUCGGACGAGGUAGGAAUACCCAGUUAGGAGUUUGGGAACAUGACUCUUACUUUA